rnacentral:tRNA from 1 species
GUCUCUGUGGCUCAGUCGGUAGAGCGUUGGUCUCAUAUCAUGUACAUAUGACUCUAGAUCACCUAGGGACAUCCAAAGGUCGCAAGUUCGAGCCUUGCCAGGGACA